ensembl:misc_RNA 7SK 7SK RNA
GAAUGUGAGGGCAAUCUGGUUGUGACAUCUGUCACCCUGCUAGUCAUCAGGGCUGAUUGGUCCAAUCUGGCGAGGCAGGUGUCCUUCCUCCCUCACCAGUCCAUGUGUGUCCCUCCCUUCAUGCUUGGUUGAAGAAGAUGACCUUCCCCAAUAGAGGAGGACCAUUAUUUAGCCAAGGGUAUACAAUUAGCUGUGCUACCCACUAGAACCUCCAAACAAGUUAUCAAGGAUGAAGAAAGCCUAUGUAACAUAUGGGACACCAUUAAGUGAACAAAUAA